CCCUCCCGCAACCGCCUGCAACCGCAAACACAAGCAGGAGCCAGCUUUUGAAUUUAUGAGAUUCAGAGCAGUUUGAAGCGGUUUAGAGCGAUUUGAGUGAUUGUUGCAAACCGCCGACAACCGCUACCAACCGCAAAAACUGCAUUUACGGGUGUGGAUGGUAGCGGGAAAACCAGUCGCCCCUUAAGUCGUAACGUAGAGAAAUUUUUUUUUACAGAGUGAACAGAAAAAGGAGAAACUUUUCACCGAAUUCUUCGAUGAAGAAAGAUGGAGGAGAAGUCAUGGUUUGGAUCCCGCCCAUCGAGCUCUUGGAUUUAAUAUGUCCGUCACAAAAUUCUGGGAAAGUCGACGGAAUCAUCAGAGAGAUCAAAAUCUGCAGCUUAAAAUCUUGGGACUUGUGCUAGAAAACAACGACAGAACAUGAAGACGCCUUGUGGGUUCUGGAAACUCACCUGGUAGUGGGAACACUUGUCUGGAUAUAGAGGUAUUAUUGGUCAUAAAGAGUUAUGGUAUUCCUCGGGGGGAAAAGCAGCAGCUCUUCUGAGAAAACCAAAUCAGAAUGGGUGUGCACGAGUUUCACUACACCCUCUUACCUGAAGUCUGAAGACAAGGUAUUCAUAUAACACUCUUUAAUCUCUUUGGUUUAUGAUCUGAUUCAUAUGACUUUCUGGGGAUGCUUGUUUUGUGUCAAUAGUUGUUGUGCUAAUUACUCAUCAAUGCUAUAAAUUAUAUAUUAGUUGUUAAGGGAUGUUUGUACCGACAAAACAUAAGUUGAGGUUUGAAAUCUCUGUCUGGCUUACCUUUUAACACUUGUGAAUCUUAUGUGCUUUGUCACUAGUUUUUGUACAGAGAACCUAUGCGUGCUUGCAGUCGGAAAGUUUUAUUAGUUAUGGCUUUGUUAUUUUAUUGUCAGGAGAUGUAUGGCAUUUGCAUAGUUGAAUCAAUGGUUAGAUGUUAUGAGAAUCUCGUGGCUUGUUUUUGAAUAUAGCUAGGAUAUAAUCGAUCAAAGAUCUUGAAACAUGUGAUCUUGUGUGGGUUUUAAAAUGUGAACGCUAAGGCGUGAGGCGACCUCAGUUGGAGGGGUCAUGGCCUUACAGAGGUGAGGCGAGGUGUUUUCAGGAAGGCGACGCUCCACCACGCCUCACGCCUCACGCCUCACACGCAUUGGACGCCUCUGCAAAAAAAAAGGGGGGACGGGUCUGGCAGAGUUCCAGCCUUCUCUAGAGGAGUUGAUACCGUUUCUGCCACAAAAUCGUCAGUUUUUGAUGUAUUCCGCUGCAUCUCCUGUCACUGUGAAGGCUUUGACGGAUCGACGCUACUUGUUAUCAACCUCAUGGAUGUUAUUUAAGUAUUUUGUAUGUUUAAAACUUGAGAAUCCUUUUUGAAUGUUUAAAACUUGGUGUGUUGCAAAAGAAAAAUAUUUAACACAUGUAAAACUCUAAAAUAUAUAAUAUUAAAAAGGGGAAAAUGUUUUUACAAAAAAAAUUCACAUGUAAAACGUGCAGCCGUAAUAUAUAGAUUUAAUAUCUCGAUUUAGUGAUAUUCUACAAAAAAAAAUUCAUUAAAACGGAUAUAAAAUCAAUACGAAAGAUAAAUAUUUAUCAUCUUUUUUAGAUUUUAAAACCGUUUAUGUUUCAUAAAAUUUGUUUUGUUUUAUUCAUGUUAAAAUAAUAAUAUAAAAAAAUACUCAUGUAAAACGUGCAGCCGUUAUAUACAUAAAUUUAAUAUUCUAAUUAUACUUAGUAAUUCUUGGUAAUCUUCAAGGUAAUAGUAAUACCACCUUACACAUAGUAAUACUUUGGCAAAUUUUAAGUUUUAUUAGUAAAACCAUGUCCAAAUGAAAUAUUUUAUAGUAAAACCAAUGAUUUUAUAUAGUGUAUGUCAUUAAGGAAAAGUAUUACAGAAACAGUUUACCAGAAAUAAGUAUUUUUAUAGAUUCUCCUUACUAUAGCCUAACGAUUCACAUAACAACCAUGAAAGUUAAGGCAUCAUUUUGGAAAAAUGGUAAAUAUUCCUAAAACUAUAGAAAAUAAUCAUCUAAAUAGUUUUAACUAUAUACAUUGUCUACUAAUAGAUAAUAUAUGGGUUCUAUAUGUUAAAUAUACGUACUACUUGCAAUAUAUAUGGGUUUAAAAUUACACAUAAUAAAACCAAGUAAUCCUAGUAGUCCGAAUUAAUAUAAUAAACCCAGUAAUCUUAGUAUUUCGAAUUACACACAGUAAAUUUAGUAAUCCUAGUAGUCGGAUUACACACAAUAAACCAAGUAAUCCUAGUUGUCAGGUUAUACACAAUGAAAACAUGAUAAAUAAAAGCUUGUCUUAUUCCUCUACAUGCCAUUGCGUAUGAUACAUCCACACCAGUCCUGCGUAUAACCAAAUCGAUGUUACUGUCCUUUCUGAAAGUUUUCUAGGUAAAAGUUAUCUAAAUUUUCAGAACAACGAUCUCAGGGAACAAUUAUAUAUUUGCAUCAUAACUUUUAGGGUAAUUCAGUUUUCAGUUAUUUUGGUUAGUUAUUUCAGUCCGCUCAAAAAAUUUGUCAGACAGAAUUUAGGAGACUUUGUUAAGACCUAUCAGCAGAUUCUCCACGCUAGUGUGGUUGGUCAUGAGCUUGAUGUGGAGAAGCAAAGAUUUGGGGUAUGUUCUGAUGAAGUAUCCAGAGUUGUUAGGGUUUAAGCUCGAAGGGAUAAUGAGUACAUUAGUUGUUUAUUUGGCGUCAAGGAAUAGAUGCUACCUUUGGUUACCGAUAAAGGACAAGAUGUCUACACAACACUACUUUUUCAGCGUGAAGCUCAAGAUUGAUCCUGAAGGAUUUGCUCGUGUUGUUGAGAAGAUGCCAAGAGUUGUAAGCCUUAAGCAGUUAAGCAUAACUGUGAUAAUGAAACCUUUUAGAGUUUCUGUUAGGAAUUUAUGGAACUGGUUCCUCAACUGCAGUGACCAAAGGUUUGAGGAACGGUUGGAAUGUAACUUUACUGAUGCAGAUAUGCCUAAUAAAUAGUAAUGGUAGUGAUGAGGUUGCAUCUUGCGUUAUUUACAUUAUCUAUGAUAUACAUCUUAUUUUAAUGAUAUUUCAGAAAAAAUAUCAUCAAAAUCAGACAUAAUAAACCCACAAAAAAAACAGUUUUAAAAAUUAUUUUCAAAUUUUCAAAAAACUCAUCAAAUCCUACAUUCUUUACUUUACCCAUGAUGUCUAUUUUAUUUAAUGAUAUUCCAGAUUUUUUUUUUUCAAAAAACAGCCAUAAUAAACCCACCAAUUGAUAAACACAGUUUGUAAAAAAAAAAUUCAAUCUCUCAAAAUACUCAUCAAAAUUUACAUUUUUUACUUUACCCAUGAUGUAUAGGUUGUUUUAAUGAUAUUUCAUUAAAAAAAAACAGCAAUAAUAAACCCCUCCAACCCAUAAAUACAGUUUUUAAAAUUAUUCACAAUCUCUCAAAAUAGUCAUCAAAUCUUACAUUCUUCUUAUUACUCAUGAUGUAAAAUUCAUUGUGGAACUCAUAUGUGAAUUGAUUUGUAAAUAGUUUAUUUAAUUCAUAAAUUGGUGAGGUGGAAAAAAUAUAUUAAACAAUUAGAGGGUAAUUUAGGAAUGACAAGGAGAAAAGGGUAGUGAGAAAAGAGAAGAGACAAGGAGAAUGAUUUUUUUCUAAAAGGGCAUAUUGAGUUAAAGUCCGGUAAAAUAGUUAGUGUAAACAUGAAAAGUGAUACGAUGAAUGUGGUAUUUUUGACAAUUUUCAUACAAAAAUUAUAAUCAUGAAUUAGUUUAUUUAAGAUUUUGUAUGUACACUCUUAUGUAAUUCUCUCUUAGGCAUAUGCAUUUUACUCGGACUCACAAACACUGAACUGAACCGACACAAAAAUACAGGUUCAUGUCUCGGAUUGAGCAAAUUACCUAAUACAUUUUUGGACCAUGUCUCUCUCCGAGUCGGGUACCCAAAGUACCCAAGAUAUUUUGUUUAUAAUAUGUAUAUUAGAGUAUUUCAGAUAUAUUCCAGUAUUAUAUAAUCUUUUUUACUUUCAGAUUCAGGUUUUUCAUUAUUGUUUCAGAUUUCAGUAAAAUUUAAAAUCUUUAAAAUUAUAUUUCUUGUAUUCGAAUAAAACUGUGGAUAUUAUUGGUUUCUGAAGUAAAAUUUAGGGUAAAAUUUGGAUGUUUUGGAUAUUUAAAUAUUUAUAGGUAUUGUUUGGAUUUUCAGAUUUUUUUUUGUGUUUUAGCUUUUUCAUGUUUGCAGAUAUUUUGAGUUUUUUUUCUAAAUACCUGAAUUGACCGGGACCCAAUACAUACCUAAAUUAUAUGUAUUUUACAGGAAUUUGAAUUAUGGAACUGAAUCGACUCAAAUCUAAAAUAAAACGAUUUGAACCCAAACUUAUUUUUUUCUUUUCAAAACAGCUAGUUGGGUCCAAAUGUCAGGACCUAGAAAAAUCAGAUCUAAAAGGAAUCAAUCAGUACCCGACCUAAAGACUUCAAUGCCCAAACCUACUCUCGCAUUAUAUUUAUGUGUACUUUAUAAGAGUUACAUUUAUUGAAUUGAUAGAUUUUGGCUAAUUUAAUAGUAUAUAUAGUAUAGAUUUGUAGAUUUUUUUUCAUUUUUUAACAAAAAAAGUUAUAGGGUUUUUAAUCAUUUCUUUGAUAAAUAAUUUUAUAAAAAAUUAGUUUAACAUAAUAUAUAUAAUUUUGUUUUAGAGAUGGUUUACUAAAGUGUUUUUUAUCAAAUUUGAUUUUAUAAAUAUUUAGAUUUAUAAUUAAUGCGUAAAUAUUGUUGGUCCAAUUUGAGCAUAAAUAUGGUAUAUAACACUAUUGCAUAACAACCAUAAUGUUAGAUGAAAAAAUAAUUUAGACAAAAAGUGUAUCAAAUGAAAUAAUGAGUAAUAGGAUUCUUUAAAAAUAUUUAAAAUUUUGUAUCAUUAGAAUAUUCAAUAGUAGGAUAAAAUGAUAAAUAACACAUACAACCUUUUUUAGUAAAUAUUCAAUAAUAUAGAUUUCUAUCAGUGCUUCAAAAGCUUGAGAUUUUGUGAAUAAGUUAUUAUUUCUUUAAAAAAAUUACAUAAAUUUAUUAUUUUAAAAACUAAAAAGUUAAAUUAUUUGAUAUUUUUGACUAUGAUGGGCUGAGUAAAUAUAAAACACAAACUUAGAUUUGAAGUAUUAGCAGUAAGAGAACUAAAGAAUAUAGGCAUAUAUUAAUUCAUUGGAUUAAUUAAUGUAUAAUGGAUAAGUUAAGAAUUAUGUGUUGCUUAAUAACAUUAUACUAGGUUAAGAUCCGCGCCUUGCGCGGAAUGAACAUUAUAUAUAAAAAUUAUUUUAUGUAUUAAAUAUUUUUACAUAUUAUGAAAUAAUAAAUAUAUAUUGAAUAAUUA